AGCAGCCGCGGUAAUUCCAGCUCCAAUAGCGUAUAUUAAAGUUGUUGCAGUUAAAAAGCUCGUAGUUGAAUUUCGGGAUCAGUUGGUCGGUCGUGCCUCGGUACGUACUGGUCAAAUUGAUUCCUACCUUCUGACGAACCACGAUGUCAUUAAUUUGGUGUCGCGGGAAAUCAGGACUGUUACUUUGAAAAAUUAGAGUGUUUAAAGCAGGCUCGCGCUUGAAUACAUUAGCAUGGAAUAAUGAAAUAGGACGUUUGAUUCUAUUUUGUUGGUUUCUAGGAUCGACGUAAUGAUUAAUAGGGAUAGUUGGGGGCAUUAGUAUUCAAUUGUCAGAGGUGAAAUUCUUGGAUUUAUUGAAGACUAACUACUGCGAAAGCAUUUGCCAAGGAUGUUUUCAUUAAUCAAGAACGAAAGUUAGGGGAUCGAAGACGAUCAGAUACCGUCGUAGUCUUAACCAUAGACUAUGCCGACUAGGGAUCGGAUGAUGUUAAUUUUUAAU
rnacentral:rRNA from 1 species